CCUCAGCUAUCAUCAAUAUAUUCAAUAACUCAGACAAUGUGCUAUCAAUCUUAUUCAUAUAGUAGUUCAUGACGAACUACCGAUACGAAUCAGAAACAGACUGCAUGAUCAAAUCCACAUGUAGUUCUUUGUCCAUAUUCAUUUCGAGCUUCUAAAGCUCUUCAAUGUCUUUGAUCAUUAUCAGACAAUGAUCAUGCAUAAAUUGCCCAUCAUGUAUUUUCACUCUGAAAAGCUG
rnacentral:lncRNA from 1 species